UAUAUAUAUUAAACCUUGUCAAAACUAGUAUAGACAAGGGGAAUAUGAUUGUUUAAUUAAAAAAAAGCAUUGUGAUGGUCCCUGCAGAUGCAGACGCAAUGUGAUGUAUACCUAAUUCUCUGCAUGUGAAAGUGAAUAAAUUCAACCAAGCACGGGUAAACGAAGGGAGUAACUAUGACUCUCUUAAGGUAUCUAGAUGCCUCGUUGUCUGAUUAGUGACAUGCAUGAAUGGAUUAACAAGGUUCCCAUUGUCCCUAGCUACUAUCUAUAGAAACCACAUCCAACGGAUAUUAG
rnacentral:ncRNA from 1 species